UGAGUACUAAGUUUCCCUCAAACAUGUACU
rnacentral:piRNA from 1 species